rnacentral:lncRNA from 1 species
CCUCCCCAACCCACACGCCAUCAACCUCCAGACCCUCUCGCCGUGGCUUAGAGGUGUCUCUGACAACGUGGCACACUGGGAAGGCCUUCUUUCCUGCUACCAAUACAAAUGCAUUCUGAAUUUGAUAUGUCAUUAAAUGUAAAAAUACAGCCAAUUUGAAACAAGCAAAUGGAAAUUCCCAGGAACCAAAAACAGAAAGAAAAAUCAGAGCUACCGCAGUGCUGUCCCUGCAGACAGAAUUUGGGAGAGGUACUCAGAGUCACCUCCUGUGAGCCUAUGCAAGCCAGCUCCUGCACAACCCUGGUUUUAGUCCAGCCUUCUGCAGAAUUCCACAUUAAACAGGAUGAAGAAUAGGUUGUUAGCAGACUGAGGUACUUGGGGCAACAUUUCGUACACAACAGGAGGGAGAAACGACUCCAGAAAAACAAUCAGAUUUUGGUGAAACUGAUGUUUGCAAGUGUGAGUGAGCCCCAUGUGCUGAAGCUUCAGGAACCCCUGAGAUGGCACAAGUUCUGCCGUACUGGGCAACGGAUGGUCUUGAAGCACACAAGACACUGGAAGACAUGAGGGCAAUUGCUACACGCCAAGCCCGGUGCCAAGCACGUUGUGCAGGUUGUUUCGUUGAUUCCGGGCCUGGCCUUUGAGAUCUGUGGAGGAUACCAUGAACUGGCUGGCUCUGCAUCCUGCUUGCAGGCGCUGGCAAGCUGGAACCUGCUUUUCUACGCCACACUGCAGAGGGCCCUGAAUGUGAUCUAUGAUUGCAACAAGCAGCCCUGAUGCGGAUCCGGAGGGCAGGGAUGACGUGGGGGCUGCCUUUCUGGUUGACCUGCUGGUAAGCAUGGCCUCAUGGAUCUAUCACCAACAGCACCCAGUCACUUGGGGAGGCCGAGUGGCAGGGCUGGGGCAUCCAUCAGGGUUUGAUUUUGCUUAUGUGGACCGGCAGGUGCAGCACAGCUGCAUUUUAGUGCAGGGCUUCCUGAUCCUGCUGCACAGCUAACACCGUUCUUCCCGAAGGCAGCAGCUCCCCCACGGGGCUGUUUCCCCAGUUCUGGGCAUCAGUCCCAGAGGCAAAGACGGGAGCCAUCCACUCUGACUCUGCCAACAAUUCUGUGAGCACCCAGUUCUCUGUAUGAAAUUCCUUUCUGCUUUAGAUAAUUAAAAUAACUUUUCUUCCCCUGCAAAAAAAAAAAAAAA